rnacentral:rRNA from 1 species
UUAAUUGAAGAGUUUGAUCAUGGCUCAGAUUGAACGCUGGCGGCAGGCUUAACACAUGCAAGUCGAGCGGUAGCACAGGGGAGCUUGCUCCCUGGGUGACGAGCGGCGGACGGGUGAGUAAUGUCUGGGAAACUGCCUGAUGGAGGGGGAUAACUACUGGAAACGGUAGCUAAUACCGCAUAACGUCGCAAGACCAAAGAGGGGGACCUUCGGGCCUCUUGCCAUCAGAUGUGCCCAGAUGGGAUUAGCUAGUAGGUGGGGUAAUGGCUCACCUAGGCGACGAUCCCUAGCUGGUCUGAGAGG